AUUGAACGCUGGCGGCAUGCCUUACACAUGCAAGUCGAACGGUAACAGGUCUUCGGAUGCUGACGAGUGGCGAACGGGUGAGCACUACAACGGAACGUGCCUAGUAGAGGGGGAUAACUACCCGAAAGAGUGGCCAAUACCGCAUCAGAUCCACGGAUGAACGCAGGGGAUCGCAAGACCUUGUGCUACGAGAGCGGCCGAUGCCAGAUUAGGGAGUUGGUGGGAUAAAAGUUUACCAAGCCGACGAUCUGUAGCUGUUCUGAGAGGACGAUCAGCCACACUGGGACUGAGACACGGCCCAGACUCCUACGGGAGGCAGCAGGGGGGAAUUUUGGACAAUGGGCGAAAGCCUGAUCCAGCAAUGCCGCGUGCAGGAUGAAGGCCUUCGGGUUGUAAACUGCUUUUGUACGGAACGAAAAGCUCUGGGUUAAUACCCUGGGGUCAUGACGGUACCGUAAGAAUAAGCACCGGCUAACUACGUGCCAGCCGCCGCGGUAACAC
rnacentral:rRNA from 1 species